rnacentral:rRNA from 1 species
GUGCCAGCAGCCGCGGUAAAACGUAGGACACAAGCGUUAUCCGGAGUUACUGGGCGUAAAGGGCGUGUAGGCGGGUGCAUAAGUCUACUCUGAAAGCUCCUGGCUAAACUGGGAGAGGCGAGUGGAGACUGUGUGUCUAGAGUGAGGAAGAGGAAAGUGGAAUUCCGCGUGUAGUGGUGAAAUGCGUAGAGAUGCGGAGGAACACCAGUGGCGAAAGCGACUUUCUGGUCCUUAACUGACGCUGAGGCGCGAAAGCAUGGGGAGCGAACGGGAUUAGAUACCCCCGUAGUCC